rnacentral:rRNA from 1 species
CAGCUAGUUGGCGGGGUAAUGGCCCACCAAGGCUAUGACGGGUAGCUGGUCUGAGAGGACGACCAGCCACACGGGGACUGAGACACGGCCCCGACUCCUACGGGAGGCAGCAGUGGGGAAUUUUCCGCAAUGGGCGAAAGCCUGACGGAGUGACGCCGCGUGUGGGACGAAGGCCUUCGGGUCGUAAACCACUGUCAGUGGGAAAGAUGGGCGUCGGCGCGAUAACCGCCGGCGUCUGACGGUACCUGCAGAGGAAGCCCCGGCUAACUCUGUGCCAGCAGCCGCGGUAAGACAGAGGGGGCAAGCGUUGCUCGGAAUUACUGGGCGUAAAGGGCGCGUAGGCGGGAUGGCAAGUCGGUCGUGAAAUCCCUCGGCUCAACUGAGGAGCGUCCAUCGAUACUGCUGUUCUUGAGGGUUGCAGAGGAGACUGGAAUUCCC